rnacentral:rRNA from 1 species
UACGUAGGGUGCAAGCGUUGUCCGGAAUUAUUGGGCGUAAAGGGCUCGUAGGCGGUCCAUCGCGUCGGGAGUGAAAAGCUGGGGCUCAACUCCAGUCCUGCUUCCGAUACGGGCAGACUAGAGUUCGGCAGGGGAGACUGGAAUUCCUGGUGUAGCGGUGAAAUGCGCAGAUAUCAGGAGGAACACCGGUGGCGAAGGCGGGUCUCUGGGCCGAUACUGACGCUGAGGAGCGAAAGCGUGGGGAGCGAACAGG